AGAGGAGCGCUGUUUCUGGAGGAGUUAGGGGAAGGAGGCUGCCUGGUAAGCCAGGAAAGGGGCUUCUGGCCGUUCUGUUGGAGCGCCUCUGACUGACUUCCCCCAUGUGUCCGUGUGGCCACACCGUGCUACUUUCAGAGGCAGUGGGCUUUUCGCUAAGGGAUAAAAAGAAGUAAAACCUUGCCUUUAGCGCAGCUCUCCUUCACUGGGCAGAUUGCUCUCCCUCCCCACUCUCCCAGGCCCAAAUUGGAUCUCAGCGCCUGGGAGCUCCAACUUUAGCAAGUGCGAAAUCCUGUCUUCGGUUUUGGAAUUUUCAUCCGCACAGACUAUAUCAGCCACGGAUAGGAUAUGUGAGAAUACCAGCAUGUCAAGGCUGGGAAUCAUCCUUAGGCAUCACCUAGCCAGUCCUGCCUCUCAUUUUAAGGUGAUCACAGGAUCUGGUUUGCCACUGAAAGGAAUCUUGAUGCUGACCACUUCACCUCGGAGAGCAUGAACUGCUCCCAUGCCUUCAAGAGUUUUAGUGGGUAACCAGGAUGGAACUGCGGUGUUGCUUGCAGGAGAAGCUUACUACUGGUUUCUACUUCUCCAACCUCAUUGGUGGCUAUGCAGGCACUGUCUCCAGACUGUCUAUAUUCAACCCAGUAUCCAAGAAUUUCUUUACCACCAUCACAUUCAGGUUUCUCCCACUGUAGAGUGACACUAUCUUUGGAUAUUGAAAGAAUCUCAAGUUCUCCUGGUUGGCUUGGUUUAUCUGAAAUAUUUUAAAAUAAUGAAAAGGGAGUCAGCUUUACUGGUGAAAUAAAAGGACCAAACAUGGCUUGCUUCUUUAAUUUAACCCCUUCUUCUGAAUUCCUUACCAAAUGGAUCUUUGCAAACAACUGGUUCAGAAGCAGGGCUGGUCUCACUCAGGCCAACAUCAUUCUGUGCGAUGAUGCGGAACUGAUACUCAGCAUCGGGAACAAGCCCUGUGACAGUGUACAUUGUGGUGGUGAUCUGAGUCUUGUUGUGUCUGACCCACUUGUCAGUGGAUGUCUCUUUGCGUUCGAUGUAGUAGCCUGUGACUCUAGAACCACCAUCAUCUUUGGGCCGGGACCAGGACAAGCUAACAGAACUCUUGGUUACAUCGAGUACUUCUGGAGGAUUGCUUGGAGGUUCUGGAGGAUCUGUAAAUAUAAGUGGAAAGCACACAUGUAUUAGAAUACAGUCCCAAGUAUUAUAAGCCAAUGACUUUCAUUUAAAAACAGAAAAGUGCUGAAAUAAUGUUUAUAAUUUUGUGGUUGAAAGGGCACUUACUCAAUGGUGUUUUUGGUGUGACUGGUUCCUCAGAUUUCAAGGGUUUGCUUAUGCCAAACUGGUUUUCUGCUGAAACACGGAAAUGGUAUUCUACAUUCUCUUUGAGGCCUUUUACCACCAGAGAUGUACCUCGGACUCUGGAAUCAAUGGUAUACCAGGCGGCUUUAGGCACUUCUCGUCUCUCGAGGAUGUAGCCUAAGAUGUCAGCACCACCAUCAUCAGCAGGAGGUCUCCAGCUGACCCUCACAGAGCGGACUUGGAUGUCAUCAUAUUCCAGUGGCCCUUCUGGACUGUUGGGACUUCCUAUCACCCUGACCUUGAUGUAGACAGCCUUCUUGCCACAUUUAUUUUCCAGAACCAGGUCAUAAGUGCCAGAAUCACCCCUGUCUGCUUCUUUGAUCACAAGCUCAGUGUGUGUUUCAGAUGUUGCAAUCAUGGCACGCUUACUAAUAUCCUGGCCUUCCUUGGUCCAUUUACAUAUUGGGAAUGGUUUUCCUUUGAUUGGUAUGGUAAGUCUGAUGACGCCACCUUGCCUUACAAAGAUACCUUCUUGGUAUCUUUCAUCAAGUUCAUAAUCAGGAUAUUCUGGAAAAAAAGGUAGGGUUUCAAUUUAGCAUUUGGGGUAGGGGGACUAAGAAAUAAGUCUAUGGCAAUUAUUGCAGAAAGCAAAUGAUCAUAUGUCUCACCAAGCAUUUCAGUGACUUUGACUGUUCCUGGUACCUCAGCAGGCUCACCAGGUCCACCAGCAUUACAAGCUAGGACGCGGAACCUGUAUUCUGCACCCUGAGAAUCAGAGGUGGGGAGAGUGGUGGAAGGGCCUGUGGACUUACGGAUGCUGCUGCGACACUCUAUGACCUCAGACUGCAAGUAAGAGCCAAUCCCGAAGCGGUUUGUUGCAGCCACACGGAACACAUACUCAUUUCCUUCGAAUUUGGUCUCCUUUUUUCCAUGUCACUGUGGGCUUCGGUCGACCGAGCACUGGAAUUUCAACUUUGAUGUUGUCACCAGCUUUGGCAAUGACCAGUUUCUGAUAGAUGCCACGGAGAUCCAGCUCUGGAAGCAUUGUCUGC
rnacentral:lncRNA from 1 species